rnacentral:rRNA from 2 species
GGGUUUACCCAUUGGUCAGGCUUAAUUGUCUGUACUGGUGAGAUAAAUCUCUACCUUCUGAGGAACUUUCAUGUCAUUAAUUUGGUGUGAUUGGAAAUCAGGACUGUUACUUUGAAAAAUUAGGGUGUUUAAAGCAGGCUAACGUCUGAAUACAUUAGCAUGGAAUAAUGAAAUAGGACGGACUGAUUCUAUUUCGUUGGUUUCUAGGAUCACCGUAAUGAUUAAUAGGGAUAGUUGGG